rnacentral:SRP_RNA from 1 species
GCUGGGCACAGUGGCGUGUGCCUAUAGUCCCAGCUACUCAGGAGGCUGAGGUGGGAGGAUCACUUGAGCCCAGGAAGUCAAGGCUGCAGUGAGCUGUGAUCACGCCACUGCACUCUAGCCUGGGUCACAGAGUGAGACCUUGUCUCAA